rnacentral:rRNA from 1 species
AACGAACGCUGGCGGCAUGCCUAACACAUGCAAGUCGAACGAGACCUUCGGGUCUAGUGGCGUACGGGUGCGUAACGCGUGGGAAUCUGCCCUUGGGUUCGGGAUAACAGUUGGAAACGACUGCUAAUACCGGAUGAUGUCUUCGGACCAAAGAUUUAUCGCCCAGGGAUGAGCCCGCGUCGGAUUAGCUAGUUGGUGAGGUAAAGGCUCACCAAGGCGACGAUCCGUAGCUGGUCUGAGAGGAUGAUCAGCCACACUGGGACUGAGACACGGCCCAGACUCCUACGGGAGGCAGCAGUGGGGAAUAUUGGACAAUGGGCGAAAGCCUGAUCCAGCAAUGCCGCGUGAGUGAUGAAGGCCUUAGGGUUGUAAAGCUCUUUUACCCGGGAUGAUAAUGACAGUACCGGGAGAAUAAGCCCCGGCUAACUCCGUGCCAGCAGCCGCGGUAAUACGGAGGGGGCUAGCGUUGUUCGGAAUUACUGGGCGUAAAGCGCGCGUA